UAGAUCACAUUGUAAAGCGCUUCUUUCCCGGUUGGGCUGGAGCAACUCUUUACAAUGUUUCUA
ensembl:miRNA